UGUGUAUAUGUGUAUAUACGUGUGUAUGCAUGUGCAUAUGUGUGUAUAUGUGUGUGUGUGUAUACGUGUAUGUGUGUGCAUGUGUAUGUGUGUGUAUAUGUGUAUGUGUGUGU
rnacentral:miRNA from 1 species